rnacentral:rRNA from 1 species
AUUGAACGCUGGCGGCAGGCCUAACACAUGCAAGUCGAGCGGAUGAGGAAAGCUUGCUUUUCGAUUCAGCGGCGGACGGGUGAGUAAUGCCUAGGAAUCUGCCUGUUAGUGGGGGAUAACUCGGGGAAACUCGGGCUAAUACCGCAUACGUCCUACGGGAGAAAGUGGGGGAUCUUCGGACCUCACGCUAACAGAUGAGCCUAGGUCGGAUUAGCUAGUAGGUGAGGUAAUGGCUCACCUAGGCGACGAUCCGUAACUGGUCUGAGAGGAUGAUCAGUCACACUGGAACUGAGACACGGUCCAGACUCCUACGGGAGGCAGCAGUGGGGAAUAUUGGACAAUGGGCGAAAGCCUGAUCCAGCCAUACCGCGUGUGUGAAGAAGGUCUUCGGAUUAUAAAGCACUUUAAGUUGGGAGGAAGGGUAUUCACCUAAUACGUGGGUACUUUGACGUUACCAACAGAAUAAGCACCGGCUAACUCUGUGCCAGCAGCCGCCGUAAGAC